rnacentral:rRNA from 1 species
AGUGGAUGGGGAGCAACCUAGUUGUGCGUGUGUAAAGGUAGUGCCAAGAAAAGCGGUGAUCAUGAUGAAAAUCAAUUCCCGGUACCCGAAACCGACACAGGUGGGCAAGUAGAGAAUACUAAGGGGCGCGAGGUAACUCUCUCCAAGGAACUCGGCAAAAUGACCCCGUAACUUAGGGAGAAGGGGUGCCACCGAGAGGUGGUCGCAGUGAAGAGGCCCAGGCGACUGUUUAGCAAAAACAUAGGUCUCUGCAAACUCGAAAGAGGAGGUAUAGGGGCUGACGCCUGCCCAGUGCCGGAAGGUUAAAGAAGUUGGUCAGUCUUAGGAUAAAGCUAGCGACUGAAGCCCCGGUGAACGGCGGCCGUAACUAUAACGGUCCUAAGGUAGCGAAAUUCCUUGUCGGGUAAGUUCCGACCCGCACGAAAGGCGUAACGAUCUGGGCGAUGUCUCGGAGAGAGGCUCGGCGAAAUAGGAUUGUCUGUGAAGAUACGGACUACCUGCAUUUGGACAGAAAGACCCUAUGAAGCUUUACUAUAGCUUGGAAUUGUGUUCGGGCUUCCUGUGCGCAGGAUAGGUGGGAGGCGAAGAAGGUAUUCUUGUGGGGAUACUGGAGCCAACGGUGAGAUACCACUCUCAGGAGGCUAGAAUUCUAACUUAAUUAAGGACAGUUUCAGGUGGGUAGUUUGACUGGGGCGGUCGCCUCCAAAAAGGUAACGGAGGCGUACAAAGGUUCACUCAGACUGGUUGGAAAUCAGUCGCAGAGUGCAAAGGCAGAAGGGAGCUUGACUGCGAGAAGUACAGUUCGAGCAGGGUGGAAACACGGUCUUAGUGAUCCGACGGUGCUGUGUGGAAGGGCCGUCGCUCAACGGAUAAAAGUUACUCUAGGAUAACAGGCUGAUCUCCCCCAAGAGUUCACAUCGACGGGGAGGUUUGGCACCUCGAUGUCGGCUCAUCGCAACCUGGGGCGGAAGUACGUCCCAAGGGUUGGGCUGUUCGCCCAUUAAAGCGGUACGUGAGCUGGGUUCAGAACGUCGUGAGACAGUUCGGUCCAUAUCCGAUGUAGGCGUGAGAAUAUUGAGAGGAGCCUUCCUUAGUACGAGAGGACCGGGAAGGACGCACCGCUGGUGUACCUGUUAUGAUGCCAAUUGUAAACGCAGGGUAGCCAAGUGCGGAGAGGAUAACCGCUGAAAGCAUCUAAGUGGGAAGCCCACCUCAAGAUGAGUAUUCUGGUGUAAGGUCACGGGAAGACGACCCGUAAAUAGGCACGAGGUGGAAGUGCAGAGAUGUAUGAAGCCGAAGUGUACUAAUAGACCGUCGGC